rnacentral:rRNA from 1 species
UACAGAGGGGGCAAGCGUUGUUCGGAAUUACUGGGCGUAAAGGGCGCGUAGGCGGCCUUCUAAGUCAUGCGUGAAAUCCCCGGGCUCAACCCGGGAACUGCGUUUGAUACUGGAGGGCUUGAAUCCGGGAGAGGGAUGCGGAAUUCCAGGUGUAGCGGUGAAAUGCGUAGAUAUCUGGAGGAACACCGGUGGCGAAGGCGGCAUCCUGGACCGGCAUUGACGCGUGAGGCGCGAAAGCCAGGGGAGCAAACGGG